CCUACGGGAGGCAGCAGUGGGGAAUCUUGCGCAAUGGGCGAAAGCCUGACGCAGCCAUGCCGCGUGAAUGAUGAAGGUCUUAGGAUUGUAAAAUUCUUUCACCGGGGACGAUAAUGACGGUACCCGGAGAAGAAGCCCCGGCUAACUUCGUGCCAGCAGCCGCGGUAAUACGAAGGGGGCUAGCGUUGCUCGGAAUUACUGGGCGUAAAGGGAGCGUAGGCGGAUAGUUUAGUCAGAGGUGAAAGCCCAGGGCUCAACCUUGGAAUUGCCUUUGAUACUGGCUAUCUUGAGUGUGGGAGAGGUAUGUGGAACUCCGAGUGUAGAGGUGAAAUUCGUAGAUAUUCGGAAGAACACCAGUGGCGAAGGCGACAUACUGGCCCAUUACUGACGCUGAGGCUCGAAAGCGUGGGGAGCAAACAGGAUUAGAUACCCUGGUAGUCCACGCUGUAAACGAUGAGUGCUAGUUGUCGGCAUGCAUGCAUGUCGGUGACGCAGCUAACGCAUUAAGCACUCCGCCUGGGGAGUACGGUCGCAAGAUUAAAACUCAAAAGAGUAAGUGACGNGAGAGAGCGACGACGACGACGACGGAGGAGGAGG
rnacentral:rRNA from 1 species